rnacentral:rRNA from 1 species
UACGGAGGGGGCUAGCGUUGUUCGGAAUUACUGGGCGUAAAGCGGGUGUAGGCGGAUCUCUAAGUCGGAGGUGAAAGCCCGGGGCUUAACCUCGGAAUGGCCUUAGAUACUGGAGAUCUCGAGUUCAGGAGAGGUGAGUGGAAUUCCGAGUGUAGAGGUGAAAUUCGUAGAUAUUCGGAGGAACACCAGAGGCGAAGGCGGCUCACUGGACUGAUACUGACGCUGAAACCCGAAAGCGUGGGGAGCAAACAGG